GUUGUGGAGAGGACAAAAAAAGAAGUGAUCUGGAAAUGUUCGUGAAAUGGAGUAAGAAUGGCUCCAGCAGCCAAACCCAACCAGGAUUCCUAAAAAGCAAAUCUCUUCUUGUAGGAGAUACAAACAUUUGGAGAAUUUAAGUUUUUUCUGUGGCCCAAUAAAGACUUUAAGCACAAGUAAAACAUGAAAACAAGAUGAAUAGUGCCCCAGUGCUUCUGAGACUGGACUGGAUGGAAUGGGAAAAUAUUACGGGACAGCCUGGGGAGAGGAUGGCUUUGCUUACACACCUACAUACUCUUUCACUUGUCAAUUCUGUGCCAAGUUGAAUUCUAGCUUUACAUUUCACUUCAUAUUACUAUCUCCACAUUUAUAAUUAGAUGUAAGACUACCAUAUACAUGUUAGUGAGAGGUAUAUAGUUUUGUGUCACUUUGGAGGUCAAUGAAUUCAAGUAGCCUCGCAGAUAUAAUGAGUGAGUUUAUUUUUGGUAAUGAGAAAGAUCAGUACAAAUGCUAAAACAAAGGUACAAUGUGAAGAGUAAGAAACAGUAUUUUUUAUAUUCUAAGAAAUAUAGGAGAUCAAGGCUAAGCAUGCAUGAUUUCUAUUCAAGGAAAUAGUUCAUGUUGAUAAUUGUAGUUAAGAAAAUUUUAAGACUAGACUCUGAUUUAUAGCUUUGGGUUAUUUUUACAUCCAUGAAAGCUGAAAGAGGAUGUGAAUCUUAAAUGAGUAAAAAAAUUGUUACUUUUGUUCAUUUAUGAUUGUAGUCAUGUGGACCUUAAAGGCCUCUUCUAGUCUUGACCUCUGCAUGGUAAGAUACCUCCUUAUUAAAAACACAUGUGUGUACACACUUACUGUUGGGGUGAGAUCUGUCAGCCCUUCUCUGGUUACCCUGGAAAGUAAAUGUUAUGACAGAAAGUAAAUCUCUCAAAUCAUGUUUAAAAUAUGCUUCCAUAACACUAUUUUUCAUGCCAUUUGUAUAGCACUAAUCACAUUAAAGUAUCAUUAUGUUUCAAAUUAAUCUAGUCCUCUGUAAGACCUUAAGUUACGUGAGGAUACCAGUGGCUAUCCCUCACAAACUCUGUAUUUUAUACCUUA